CAGUCGCCGCGGUAAUACGAAGGGGGCUAGCGUUGUUCGGAAUUACUGGGCGUAAAGCGCACGUAGGCGGAUAUUUAAGUCAGGGGUGAAAUCCCGCAGCUCAACUGCGGAACUGCCUUUGAUACUGGGUAUCUUGAGUAUGGAAGAGGUUAGUGGAAUUGCGAGUGUAGAGGUGAAAUUCGUAGAUAUUCGCAGGAACACCAGUGGCGAAGGCGGCUAACUGGUCCAUAACUGACGCUGAGGUGCGAAAGCGUGGGGAGCAAACAGGAUUAGAUACCCGGGUAGUCCCUGUCUCUUAUAC
rnacentral:rRNA from 1 species